CAGCCGCCGCGGUAAAACGAAGGGUGCAAGCGUUACUCGGAAUUACUGGGCGUAAAGCGUGCGUAGGUGGUGGUUUAAGUCCGUUGUGAAAGCCCUGGGCUCAACCUGGGAAUUGCAGUGGAUACUGGGUAACUAGAGUGUGGUAGAGGAUAGUGGAAUUUCCGGUGUAGCAGUGAAAUGCGUAGAGAUCGGAAGGAACAUCUGUGGCGAAGGCGACUAUCUGGGCCAACACUAACACUGAGGCACGAAAGCGUGGGGAGCAAACAGGAUUAGAUACCCCCGUAGUCCCUGUCUCUUAUAC
rnacentral:rRNA from 1 species